GGGGGGGAGGGGCGGCGAGGCGAGGCCUGCGGAGCGGAGGAAGACAAACAUAAAGAUGAAGUGCUUAAUUCAAGGUCACACAAUGUCGGGGAUGGACCUCCAGAUUUCCUUACUGAGACGGAGUCUUGCUAUGUUGCCCAGGCUGGUCUUGAACUCCUCACCUCAAGCGAUCCUCCCGUCUUGGCCUCCCAAGUGUCAGGAUUACGGGCAUGUGCUAUCACACCCAACCUGAUACAUUGCCUUUAUAAAUUUUUUUUUCUUUAUUCUAAAAACCAGAAAAAACAAAACUGGAUACAUGUGCAGAACAUGCAGGUGAGACGUGGUCUUGUAACACAGUGGUUAAGAAUGUGACUUUGGAGCCAGCCUGCUAGGGGCUGAAUUCUGACUCAGCCAUUUACUAACUGUGUGACCUUAGGUAAGUCAUUUACCUUCUUUGUCCCUCAGUUUCAUCUCGGUUAAGUAGGGAUAAUGAUAGCACCUAUUUUAUAGGGUUAUUGUGAGGAAUAAAUCCAAGUAAAAUGCUUAGAAUAGUAACUGAAACAUAGCACUCAUUAGGAAUGCUUUAAUUUUCAUUUAUUUGAGUAUUAAAGGUUGAAUUUUCAGAGGUAUUUUGGACCUUUGUAUUUUUUCUUUAAAUCACUUAUUCAUGACUUUUGAACUUUUUUUUUUCUUUUAGAGACAGGGUCUUGGUUUGUUGUCUAGGCUGGAAUGCAGUGGUGCAAUCAUAGCUCACUGUAGCCUUGAACUCUUGGGCUCAAGAGAUCCUCCUGCCUCAGCCUCGUGAGUAGCUGGGCCUACAGGCGCCUGCUACCACACCUGGCUAAUUUUUUAUUUUUUGUAGAGAUGGGUUCUUGCAGCCCAGACUGGUCUUGAGCUUUGGCCUGAAGUGCUCCUCCUGCCUUGGCCUCUCAAAGCAUUGGGGUUACAGGUGUGAAGCACUGCACCUUGCCUACACAUUUUUUCCAAUAAUUUUUUUUAUUAAUUUGUAAGAGUUAACAUGUCGACUAUCAUAUAUAACAUAGAAUUGUUCCCAUUUUGUCAUUUCCUUUCAACUUUGUCUAUGUAGCUUUUUUUCUGUGUGCAAAUUUUACAUUUUUAGGUAGUCAGAAAAUCUCUUCCCUUGUAAUUUUUUCUGCUACUAGACCAAUGUUUAGAAAAAAGCGUGCUUCCCCACCUCAAAAUUAUAAAAAUAGUUACUUGUUCUUUUUGAGUACUGUGUGUGUUUAAAUCUUUAAUCUUUAAAUUUAAAUCUUUGAUCCAUCUGGUAUUUAUUUUGAUAUGAAGAGAGUGGUUGGGAUCUGGCUGUAUUUCUUUUUUCUUUUUUUUUCUUUUUUCUUUUUUUGACGAAGUCUCACUGUUGCUCAGGCUGGAGUGCAAUGGCAUGAUCUCGGCUCAUCACAACCUCUGCUUCCUGGGUUCAAGCGAUUCUCCUGCCUCAGCCUCCCGAGUACCUGGGACUACAGGCACUCGCCACCAUGCCCGGCUGAUUUUUGUAUUUUUAAUAGAGAUGGUUUCACUAUGUUGGCCAGGCUGGUCUCGAACUCCUGACCUUGUGAUCUGCCCACCUCAGCCUCGAAAAGUGCUGGGAUUACAGGCGUGAGCCACUGCGCCCAGCCUUGUAUUUUUUUUCAGUUUGGGUAGCUGUCCCUAAUUCAUUUGUUAAAGGAGAAGCAAGAGCAAGAACCUUUAAUCUGUUCUCCUCUUCCCUAAUUUGAAAGUAGCUUGUUAUUUUGAAUAUCACUUUCUCUGAAAUAGCACAUCUCCAUCUCAGAGAAUGGAUUUAAUGUUUGGAUACAGCCAAAAGUCAUUUCAUUACCAAACCAUGGGGUGAAUAUACCAUGUAAAGCAGUUUGGGAUCAGAACUCACAGUCUGAAUUGUAAGUGAUGAGACUGCUGUCUCUCUGCUACAGCUUCUUGGCUGGCUCUGAAGGCUCUUUGAAGGCAGAUCCUAACAAGGGGACUGCUUUGAAGGGCCAUUGUUCAUUUGGAAUGAUAAAGUCUAUGUUGUUCAAAAAACAAAUGCUUGUAGCAGGUAUUUUUUCACUCCAGACUGAGAAUAUUGGUGGGAUAUUGAUAAGGGGUACUGAAUGGUAAUAAACAUGUGCUCUAGCUCUGUGCUAGUCAGCUUAUUUCAGAACUCUAGUUUGAUUCAGUUUCUUGCCUCUGACUCAAAAUGGAGGGAGAGUGAUUUUUACAUAAGAGAACACACCCACAUAUCCUUUUGGCAGCAGCUACCUGCCAGAGAUGUUGAAGAAGAGUAGCCAACCUUUACACAGCAGAUAUUGUGUGCCAGUCAUAGUCCUAAGUAUAAUACCUUACAUGUAUAAACUUCUUAUAAGGUUGGUGCUCUGUACCGAAUUGAAUAGUAUCCCCCAAAAUUCAUGUUGUCCCAGAACCUAUGAAAGUGAUCUUACUUGAGGGAGGGGGGAGGGGGGAGGGAUAGCAUUAGGAGAUAUACCUAAUGCUAAAUGACGAGUUAAUGGGUGUAGCACACCAGCAUGGCACAUGUAUACAUAUGUAACUAACCUGCACAUUGUGCACAUGUACCCUAAAACUUAAAGUAUAAUAAUAAUAAAAUAAAAAAAAAAAAGAAAGUGAUCUUACUUGGAAAUAAGGUCUUUGCACAUAUGAUCAAGUUGAGAUGAAGUUGUACUGGAAAGUCUGUCUAGUGACUGGUGUUGUCAUAAGAAGAGAGGGACACAGAGGGAAGAUGGCCACAUGAAGAUGGAGGCAGAGAUUGCAGUUAUGCUGCUGCAAACUAAGGAAUGGCUCUGGCCCUCCAAGGAUUGCUGAUAACCACCAGAAACUAGAAGAGACAAGGAAGGAUUCUUCCCUAGAGCCUUCAGAGGGAGCAUGGCCCUACUGACACCUGGAUUUCAAACUUGUAGCUUCCUAAACUGCAAGAGAAUAAAUUUCUGUUGUUUUAAGCCA
rnacentral:lncRNA from 1 species